rnacentral:lncRNA from 1 species
AAAUUUUUAAAAACAUUAGCCAGGAAGCCAGGGGAGCCGGAAUGGAAUGCAGCCUGCACAAGGGAUGCUAAUUGAAUUACAAACGUGUGACAUCAUUCUUGAACAGGGACGGAGUGACAAAGGGGCUGAUCUAAGCAAUUUGGGACACUGUUCUGUCCAAAGACGGGUUUCUCUGUGUAGCCCUGGCUGUCCUGGGACUGGCUCUGUAGACCGGGCUGGCCUCGAACUCAGAGAUUUCCCUUCCUCCCCCGUGCUUCUGGGAGCUGGGAUUAAGGAGUGUUCCACACCGCCGCCCAGAUGAGGCAGAAGGAGUUCCAGGCCAGCUAGGACCAAUGAAUGCUGGAGCUCGGCAAUUGAGAGGCAGCGUUGGCAGAGUAAGCAUCUUCUUGCUUGCGGUGGUCCAGAUGGGUGUCCAGAAGCCAAGAAGCAAGCAUCCCUACACAGGAGAGAGAGAUUAAUCACGCCUGGAGUCUGUUCCUUCCGGGAAGUGGGGUGAGAAGCAUCUCUAUAAGGCUGGAGUUUGUGGUGAGACGCGGGGCUGUGUAAGAGAGGACACUCCCUGUGGGGCAUACUGUAGCAGAGCCAGAUGUGGUUGUCCCCUGUGCAUCUGGAUGCUGAGACCAGAUCCCUCUUCUGCUGGGCCCCUCUGUCCUUUGUCCAUCUGAUCAGACUGAUCACCUGCAGUGGCAGACACCUGCUGGCCGGAGCUGUUUUUUCAGCACCAAAGUGGCCUCCAUUUUACCUGGGUAUCCAAGGCACGACAGGACCUGAGAUCAACCUGGCCCAUUUGGCUAUCCAUAGAGGUUCCCCAGGACCCCAAUGGACAGGAGCCAGGAUGCUGGGGGACCACGAGUGCUCACAGGCAGGCGGGAUCUGCUGGAAUUAGGAGCCUGGGUGUGGCUGAGGCUUCCAUGUGCAUGCCUGGAACAGAGAGAGGCUGCAGCAGGGGCAAGAACAACAGGAAUUGGAGCCGGGGAGGGGGGGUGAGUCAUAGCCCCUAGGGGGACUGUUCUUGUGUUGGUUGUAUUCAGAGGAUACUGGAAGUCUUCUCAGGACCCUCUCCUUCGGUAUUACCCUGCUUGUGACAUUCUAAGCCUUCCCUCUUCUCCCUUAGCUCCAUGAUUGAUAGAGAUAAGGGAUGGGGGGCAGAAAGUCCCAACCAGCACCCCAGAUCUCCACCGGAAGCCGUAGAACACUACAGCUACUAGUGAUGGUUUGUAUAUGCUCGGCCCAGGGAGAGGCACUAUUUGGAAGUGUGGCCCUGUUGGAGUAGGUGUGUCACUGUGGGUGUGAGCUUUAAGACCCUCAUCCUACCUGCAUGAAAGCCAGUAUUCUGCUAGCAGCCUUCAGAUGAAGAUGUAGAAUUGUCAGUUCCUCCUGCACCAUGCCUGCCUGGAUGCUGCCAUGUCCCUGCCUCGAUGAUAAUGGACUGAACCUCUGGACCUGUAAGCCAGCCUUGAUCAAGGUGUCUGUUCACAGCAGUAAAACCCUAACUAAGACACUACUGCUCACAGAAGCCCAGGGUACCACUGGCUGGCCCUCAGCAAAUGGGACAGGAAGGAAUGUGCCUACAAACCUCACACCCAUCCAACCACCCACUUCUGCUCAGUGACAUGUUCCUGCAGUUAUGGCUGGUCCAUGCAAGGAUGCUCCUUUAGAGAGAUGGCAUCCAUGUGGCCUCUCUGAAUCACUGUGGGAAAGGGUUGUGUUUGCAGGUAACGGGGGCGGGACUCCUCCUUCUGUGUUUCGGCCCCGUGUUCCUUAGACUCUCAUCUCCAGAAAAGACCCAAGAACUAUUUUUCAGCUUACUGGAAAAAGAAUGUGUUUUGGUUUAUGGUUUCCAAACUUCCAGGCCAUGUGAAGCUGCUUCUGUGUGUCUGGGUCGUGGUGGGGCAGAGCAUCAUGGUGGACGGACAUGGUGGAGAGGGGCAAGUGGAAGAGAGGGGGAGGAAGAGAAAGAGUAGUAGUAGGGGCCAGCGAGAUGGCUCAGUAGGAAAAGGAGCUUGCCACCAGUCCUGAAUAUCUGAGUUCAAUCCCUGGGACCCAUGUAGUGGAAGGACUCCCUGGCUCCUAAAAGAUAUCAUUUUCAAUUCAACCCAUAACAAGCUCCAUGCAUGUGUGGACCUCCUCAGAUAGGAAGGCUCGCACUGCAGCCCUGGCAGGGUCUGUUUUGUCAGAAUCACGGCAGCCUGUUUCCUGUACGUUCUCAGAUAUUUCAGUGACGAUUUCAGUGACUUUAAUUGGAAAAAUACAUACUUUAGAGAAAGAGUUUUUUUUUAUUUGUGUGUGUGUAUGUGUGUGUGUGUGUGUGAGAGAGAGAGAGAGAGAGAGAGAGAGAGAGAGAGAGAGAGAGAGAGAGAGAGAGCAAUUUUGUGUAUGAGCACGGGGGCAUAAAUAUCCUGGCCCAUGUGACGGUCAGAGGGCAGCCUCGGGUAUCUGAACUUGCCCUUCACCUUGCUUGUGACAGGGUCUCAGAUUUUCUGCUGCACACACAGCAGAAUAGGUGGCUUGUAAACUUCUAAGGAUUCGCCUGUCUCUGUCUCUCUUGUCCCUUCACCCCCCUCCACCGGGUGUGCUGGAUUAUGCAUGGAAUCACAGCCAGUUUUCUGUGGGUGGCUGCUGGGGAUUUGAACUCAGUUCCUCAAGUUUGUGCAGCCAGCAGUUUCUCACUGAGCCAUCUCCUUGGCCCACUUUUCUUUCAUUUCAGAGACAGGACCUUUGCUGACAUCAGCAGCCUUUGCUGACAUCAACAGUCAUAGGUAGCAUGGAAUGGCCUUGUAUUUCUAAACUUUCUGUCUCUGCCACCGCUCCUGGUUUAUGUGGUCCUCUACCAACUGAGUCCCAUCCUAAGCCCCUAAUUAAAAAAGAUUU